ensembl:lncRNA
UCUUCCCCAGCAGCCAGAAGAACAAGCCCUCGUCCAGAGCCGUUAGCGGAAACUAACACCGACGCGUUAGACUCUGACCCAAAACAACAUUCUCUGAAGACGGAGAGGAGAGCAGCGUGUGACGCCACAGAAGCACUGGACUCGACUGAUGACGUGAAGGAGGAAGAAACGGCUGAUCCUCACCAUGUUGAGGUGCGGAGACGGUGCUGGAGAAGCCGAAUCUCUCAGAGUCCGAUUAGCAAACGACUCGGAGCCUCGCAGUAUUUAUUUCAAGCCCCGAACCGCUACAUCUUCCACGGCGCCGAGGUCUACUCGAGUUCAGAGGACGAGUCGUCCAGUUCCUGCGACAGCGACAGCGACGGCUCUCCCUGCAGCGCGGACGCUGUGGAGCACGAAGACAGCGACGGAGAAGAAGACAAAGACACAGACGGCCUGGCAGAGACAGUACAGGACCACGACCACAAACGCCUUCAAACGGACUGCACCGCAGAAACAGAGCCACCAUCCACACAAUAACUCACCAGCACUCGCUGCAUUUAAUCUGCUCAAGUCUGUUUUAUAUAUUUUUGUAUUCCCCCUUCCUCCUAAACGCCCUGUUCUGUCUUCUAAUGCAUGCAACUACUUUCUUUUGUUCGACUUAUAACCCUUUUUGUUUUAUCACCUUUUGCAUUUUUAGAUGUUAAAUACACAUUUAAUUCCGGUGAGUGUUUCCGCCUGAGAAUUGAGCUUGAGAUGUAAUUGCUUGGGAUAAAAAAAGGGAAUGAUUUUCAAACCAAAGAUCACUUUUUCUGUAUCGUUUUCACAAGAUCUGGUCACUGUGUCCAGUAUGUGCACCAAACCGUGGACAUUUGGCAGCUAUGGUCAGCCUACUGUUGAAGUCUUUUAUACCCAGUAAAGUUUGAUAGCCACCAAGCAGAUGUUUUCCAUUCGUUUUCAGGACGUUAUUUACAUGCAUUCACACUCGUGUAAGUCCUGUCCUCAAGCACUUAGUAAUUCUGAAUCAGUUUUUGGAGAUGCUUGUGUAUGUUGUUUGGUUAAUGCUCUCUUUGACUGUGCAUUCAAAUCUUUAUAACACUGUUAAGUUAUGAUAUCAGCACAGAAUCACAAGUCCCUCGUGCAGAGGAUGCAGUUUUGGUUGUGUUCUUAAUCUCAUUUCUUUAAUGUUAAAAAAAGACUUUUUAUGUCAGAUUUUGUGUUUACGUUAAGAUGGAUUGGCGAUGCUGCAAAAGAGCAAAUGAAUACUUUUUGUCACCAAAUACAGACUUCACAAACGUAGCAUUUUUGACUUAUCACUCGGCCUUUAGCUCAGCACUGUACAUGAUGCAUGCAAGUUUAGAUUAGAUACUGACAGAGAAGUAUUUUGCUUGGUAAUAAAAUAUGAAAGUGUUUGCA